CCUACGGGUGGCUGCAGUAAGGAAUAUUGGUCAAUGGACGAAAGUCUGAACCAGCCAUGCCGCGUGGAGGAUGAAGGUCCUCUGGAUUGUAAACUUCUUUUAUAUGGGACGACAAAAGGCCUUUCCAGGUCGUCUGACGGUACCAUAUGAAUAAGCACCGGCUAACUCCGUGCCAGCAGCCGCGGUAAUACGGAGGGUGCAAGCGUUAUCCGGGUUCACUGGGUUGUAGGGGUGCGUGGAUGGCUGUGGAGAAAUCCCCGAGCUUAACUUGGGAACUGCCAUUGAUACUAUCAGUCUUGAAUACCAUGGAGGUCAGCGGAAUAUGUCAUGUAGCGGUGAAAUGCUUAGAUAUGACAUAGAACACCAAUUGCGAAGGCAGCUGGCUACACGAGUAUUGACACUGAGGCACGAAAGCGUGGGGAUCAAACAGGAUUAGAUACCCUUGUAGUC
rnacentral:rRNA from 1 species